AUGAACGCUAGCUACAGGCUUAACACAUGCAAGUCGAGGGGCAGCAUGGUCUUAGCUUGCUAAGGCCGAUGGCGACCGGCGCACGGGUGAGUAACACGUAUCCAACCUGCCGUCUACUCUUGGACAGCCUUCUGAAAGGAAGAUUAAUACAAGAUGGCAUCAUGAGUCCGCAUGUUCACAUGAUUAAAGGUAUUCCGGUAGACGAUGGGGAUGCGUUCCAUUAGAUAGUAGGCGGGGUAACGGCCCACCUAGUCUUCGAUGGAUAGGGGUUCUGAGAGGAAGGUCCCCCACAUUGGAACUGAGACACGGUCCAAACUCCUACGGGAGGCAGCAGUGAGGAAUAUUGGUCAAUGGGCGCAGGCCUGAACCAGCCAAGUAGCGUGAAGGAUGACUGCCCUAUGGGUUGUAAACUUCUUUUAUAAAGGAAUAAAGUCGGGUAUGUAUACCCGUUUGCAUGUACUUUAUGAAUAAGGAUCGGCUAACUCCGUGCCAGCAGCCGCGGUAAUACGGAGGAUCCGAGCGUUAUCCGGAUUUAUUGGGUUUAAAGGGAGCGUAGAUGGAUGUUUAAGUCAGUUGUGAAAGUUUGCGGCUCAACCGUAAAAUUGCAGUUGAUACUGGAUAUCUUGAGUGCAGUUGAGGCAGGCGGAAUUCGUGGUGUAGCGGUGAAAUGCUUAGAUAUCACGAAGAACUCCGAUUGCGAAGGCAGCCUGCUAAGCUGCAACUGACAUUGAGGCUCGAAAGUGUGGGUAUCAAACAGGAUUAGAUACCCUGGUAGUCCACGCGGUAAACGAUGAUUACUAGGUGUCGGGGGUUUAUAAACCUUCGGUGCCGCCGCAAACGCAAUAAGUAAUCCACCUGGGGAGUACGGCCGCAAGGUUGAAACUCAAAGGAAUUGACGGGGGCCCGCACAAGCGGUGGAGCAUGUGGUUUAAUUCGAAGCAACGCGAAGAACCUUACCAAAUCUUGACAUCCUUUGACAACUCUAGAGAUAGAGCCUUCCCCUUCGGGGGACAAAGUGACAGGUGGUGCAUGGUUGUCGUCAGCUCGUGUCGUGAGAUGUUGGGUUAAGUCCCGCAACGAGCGCAACCCUUGUUGUCAGUUACUAACAGGUUUCGCUGAGGACUCUGACAAGACUGCCAUCGUAAGAUGUGAGGAAGGUGGGGAUGACGUCAAAUCAGCACGGCCCUUACGUCCGGGGCUACACACGUGUUACAAUGGGGGGUACAGAGGGCCGCUACCACGCGAGUGGAUGCCAAUCCCAAAAACCUCUCUCAGUUCGGACUGGAGUCUGCAACCCGACUCCACGAAGCUGGAUUCGCUAGUAAUCGCGCAUCAGCCACGGCGCGGUGAAUACGUUCCCGGGCCUUGUACACACCGCCCGUCAAGCCAUGGGAGCCGGGGGUACCUGAAGUGCGUAACCGCGAGGAGCGCCCUAGGGUAAAACUGGUGACUGGGGCU
rnacentral:rRNA from 1 species